GAUGAACGCUGGCGGCGUGCUUAACACAUGCAAGUCGAACGAAGCAGAUGAGAAAGCUUGCUUUUUAUUUCGCUUAGUGGCGGACGGGUGAGUAACGCGUGAGUAACCUGCCCUUCAGUGGGGAAUAACAUCGAGAAAUCGGUGCUAAUACCGCAUAACGUAUUUAUGUCGCAUGACAUUUAUACCAAAGGAUUUAUUCGCUGAAGGAUGGACUCGCGUCCGAUUAGAUAGUUGGUGAGAUAAUGGCCCACCAAGUCAACGAUCGGUAGCCGAACUGAGAGGUUGAUCGGCCACAUUGGGACUGAGACACGGCCCAGACUCCUACGGGAGGCAGCAGUGGGGAAUAUUGGGCAAUGGGCGAAAGCCUGACCCAGCAACGCCGCGUGAAGGAUGAAGGUCUUCGGAUUGUAAACUUCUUUGAUUAGGGAAGAAUUUUUGACCUACCUAAAGAACAAGUCACGGCUAACUACGUG
rnacentral:rRNA from 1 species